GGCCUGCAGUCAAUUCUGUGAUCCUCAAUUGGAUACUAAAACGGGAAUCAUAUCAUGGGUGAUGUAUCACAUGGGCCUCCAUAUUGCAUGCGCCAGGUGCAAUUGGAUAUUAAAUCCCACGGUGAAUAACAUGCUACGUCUACCCCUUGUAUUUCACCAAUUUCUGAUUGCGUGCUAUCCACCGUGCAUAUGCUCUGGGAUUUGCCUUGGUUCACUUGCACCUGGUGCAUGCAAUAAUUUAUCAUCACAUGGGCCCUGAGAAGGACAUACACGAACGGACAAGGCAUAAAAUGUUGCAAGAAAUCAAAGGCACCAAUAAUUUUGGAACACGCCAAGUAAUAUAUAUAAAUAUAUUAAAAGAGAAACAAGUGAUCUCUCAAAAUGGCAAGUACUGCAUAUCCAUAAUGCCACAUGUUAUCAAUAUAAGAUGCCACAUGUCAUAC
rnacentral:lncRNA from 1 species